rnacentral:rRNA from 1 species
GAACUUAAGCAUAUCAAUAAGCGGAGGAAAAGAAACCAACAGGGAUUGCCUCAGUAACGGCGAGUGAAGCGGCAACAGCUCAAAUUUGAAAUCUGGCUCUUUCAGGGUCCGAGUUGUAAUUUGUAGAAGAUGCUUUGGGUGUAGCUCCGGUCUAAGUUCCUUGGAACAGGACGUCAUAGAGGGUGAGAAUCCCGUAUGUGACUGGGUGCUUUCGCUCGUGUAAAGCUCUUUCGACGAGUCGAGUUGUUUGGGAAUGCAGCUCAAAAUGGGUGGUAAAUUUCAUCUAAAGCUAAAUAUUGGCCAGAGACCGAUAGCGCACAAGUAGAGUGAUCGAAAGAUGAAAAGCACUUUGGAAAGAGAGCUAAACAGUACGUGAAAUUGUUGAAAGGGAAGCGCUUGCAACCAGACUUGCGCGCUGUUGAUCAUCCGAGCUUUUGCCCGGUGCACUCGGCAGCGUUCAGGCCAGCAUCGGUUUUGGUGGGCGGAUAAAGGCCUUGGGAAUGUAGCUUCUUUCGGGGAGUGUUAUAGCCCUCGGUGCAAUGCGCCCUACCGGGACCGAGGACCGCGCUUCGGCUAGGAUGCUGGCGUAAUGGUUGUAAGCGACCCGUCUUGAAACACGGACCAAGGAGUCUAACAUCUAUGCGAGUGUUUGGGUGUCAAACCCAUACGCGUAAUGAAAGUGAACGGAGGUGAGAACCCUUAAGGGUGCAUCAUCGACCGAUCCUGAUGUCUUCGGAUGGAUUUGAGUAAGAGCAUAGCUGUUGGGACCCGAAA